rnacentral:rRNA from 1 species
AAUGGGCGAAAGCCUGAUCCAGCAAUACCGCGUGUGUGAAGAAGGCCUGCGGGUUGUAAAGCACUUUCAGUAGGGAGGGCCAAGAACUGGAUUGACGUUACCUACAGAAGAAGCACCGGCUAACUCUGUGCCAGCAGCCGCGGUAAUACAGAGGGUGCAAGCGUUAAUCGGAAUUACUGGGCGUAAAGGGUGCGUAGGUGGUUACUUAAGUCAGAUGUGAAAGCCCCGGGCUCAACCUGGGAAUUGCAUUUGAAACUGGGUGGCUAGAGUAUGGUAGAGGGAAGUGGAAUUUCCGGUGUAGCGGUGAAAUGCGUAGAUAUCGGAAGGAACGCCAGUGGCGAAGGCGGCUUCCUGGACCAUUACUGACACUGAGGCACGAAAGCGUGGGGAGCAAACAGGAUU